AUACGUAGGGAGCGAGCGUUGUCCGGAAUUACUGGGUGUAAAGGGAGCGUAGGCGGGAAGGCAAGUUGGAUGUGAUAACUAUCGGCUCAACCGAUAGACUGCAUUCAAAACUGCUUUUCUUGAGUGAAGUAGAGGCAGGCGGAGUUCCUAGUGUAGCGGUGAAAUGCGUAGAUAUUAGGAGGAACACCAGUGGCGAAGGCGGCCUGCUGGGCUUUUACUGACGCUGAGGCUCGAAAGUGUGGGUAGC
rnacentral:rRNA from 1 species